ACGGGAGGGGCAAGCGUUAUCUAGAAUAACUGGGCGUAAAGAGUCCGUAGAUUGUACUGUAAGUUAGUUGUUAAAGACUAAAACUUAAUUUUAGAAAAGCUUCUAAUACUACUGUACUUGAGUUUUUUGCAGAAAAGUAGAAUUUCAUGUCGAGGAGCAACGCCUUAAGACACAUGAAGGAAUACCUAGAGCGAAGGCAACUUUUUGGUAAAAACUGACGUUGAGGGACGAAAGUGUAGGGAGCAAACAGG
rnacentral:rRNA from 1 species